UCCGUUUUUUGUGUCACACAUCAAAGUCCUUGAAACCACAGAUUAAUUAAACACAGAAUUACUGAUUCACGGAUGUCAUUCACUAUUGCUGUGUUCAAAUUCAGAUGCGACUUUUAUGGCCAUACAGUGAAGUAAAAACGAAUGCUGUCAGAGAGGUGCUGAUUAUAUUGGUUCAGACACUUUUGGUUUGUUUUACAAGCCCUGCUACUGCAACACAUUGAGGGGCAGAGAAGAAAGAGUGCUUGGAGACCAGCUGCUUUACACCAGCUCUCGCCUCCGUAGUGGGAUCCUAUUCACGUGAUAGAAGAUACACUCUGCCUAGGGAUUUUGUCUUUAACUGUCUCUUUCAAGGAUAAUGCCAGUGAGCUAUUGCUGCAGGUAUUUACUCUUAAUUUUCUUAUCCCAUUGAUACUACUACUGGCUCAGUGCUUUCUUGUUUUAUUGUGUUUCUUAGAUGGAACUACUAAUGGUAUUAGUGAUGUCACUAACGGUGUGUGCUGUAUUCUUUCCCAAAUAAACUACUCCUGGACUGGUGCUUCUGUGUUUUUUUUUUCUGUUUACUUUCUGCCCUCUAAAGCUAGCCAAUCACAGCAGAUGGCCACUUAUACUGAGCAUGGUUCUACUAGAGGUUUUUCUUGUUAAUAUGGAGUCCUUACUUACCACUGUAGCUACAUGCUUAGAACUCUCUGUUUUAUCAUCUGCCUUGAGAUGACAUUUGCUCUGAACUGGUGCUAUAUUCCUAAAAUUAAUAAAAUUGAAUUGAAUUGAAAUCUAACCUUAAUCGUAAAAAAGUUAGACCACUGAUUUUACUAAACAAAUAUUAAUUCAAAGUGAAAAAGUUUGAAAAAUAACAUACACCAUAAUUACUAGAUAUGUACAAAAUAUGAAAAACCUUAGAACUUAAAAGUUUGAGAGGGAAGAAUUAAGCCAUGUGUGGGUUGCUGUUUUGUUUUUAAAAUCCCAGUGUGUUAUGUAAAAGUACUGCAUGUGCAUUCUAAUAUAUCUGCUUAGCAAUUUAGUGUAUGCUAAAUAGUUGUGUAAAGAAAUUGUAAUAGCAUUAAAAAAUACUAAUACCUCAACUGACUCUCACAGUCAAUUGAGUUAUUGUAAAUCAAGUUUAAAAACAAGAAUAAACUCUAGAAAUCUGUUUAUUGCAUUUACUUAGCAGAAUGCACACAAAAGCAUGGAUCCAAAAUAUUAUGCACUCUAUGAAAUAUAAUCAAUUGUAUACAACUUUCUAAAUGCACAGAAGUUGUUUUGACAAUAGAUGACACUACAAAGUGACUGCAACAUGACCAAAGUUGGUGUCUAUACAAAACAAAGUUUCAAAAUGAAAUUAAAUAUAGAGGAUUACUUACUGUAAAGAUGUAAAAAUGACAGGAAUAAGAAACCAGUUUAAAAUACACAAAGUAAAUAAAUGUUUAUUGUCAGUGACAUAGAAAUUUAGCAGAUACAAUUUUUCUUAAAUGAAGCGACAGCAAUCAGUACACACAGCAUUUCAAAGAAUUUCCAAAACGAUUGUCGUUGCAAUUAUACUAUGUACAAGAAUGCGAAUCUUCAGAAUGUUGUCAAAA